CCUACGUGAGGCAGCAGUGAGGAAUAUUGGUCAAUGGGCGAGAGCCUGAACCAGCCAAGUCGCGUGAGGGAGUACUGCCCUAUGGGUUGUAAACCUCUUUUGUCGGGGAGCAAAAGCCGGACGUGUACGGCUGUGAGAGUACCCGAAGAAAAAGCAUAGGCUAACUCCGUGCCAGCAGCCGCGGUAAUACGGAGGAUGCGGGCGUUAUCCGGAUUUAUUGGGUUUAAAGGGAGCGUCGGUGGAUUGUUAAGUCAGUUGUGAAAGUUUGCGGCUCAACCGUAAAAUUGCAGUUGAAACUGGCAGUCUUGAGUACAGUAGAGGUGGGCGGAAUUCGUGGUGUAGCGGUGAAAUGCUUAGAUAUCACGAAGAACUCCGAUUGCGAAGGCAGCUCACUGGACUGCAACUGACGCUGAUGCACGAAAGCGUGGGUAUCAAACAGGAUUAGAUACCCGGGUAGUC
rnacentral:rRNA from 1 species